UGUUGGGUAUGUAGCAAGAGUAAUGGGAAAUGGAGGGAAGAUGAAAAGAGAGGAACUUGAAAAGUUGGGAACUUGAAGAGUUGAGAACUUGAAAAGUCCUCUUAUGCUUUAUUGAAAAGGCAUUUGUCCCUCAUCGGUGGUGGAAAGAAAAAUAGGAGAGUUUAAAUAUAGAAACACUCCUAUUAAUUGUUAAAAGGGUUGGAAAGAGGGA
rnacentral:lncRNA from 1 species